GACGAACCACCCAAACGUUAUUCGGAAUUACUGGGCUUAAAGAGUGCGUAGGCGGCCUUGUAAGUAGGGUGUGAAAUCCCACAGCUCAACUGUGGAACUGCGCUCUAAACUACAAGGCUAGAGGGAUAUAGAGGUGAGCAGAACUGAUGGUGGAGCGGUGAAAUGCGUUGAUAUCAUCAGGAAUACCGGAGGCGAAGGCGGCUCACUGGGUAUCUUCUGACGCUGAGGUACGAAAGCUAGGGGAGCGAACGGG
rnacentral:rRNA from 2 species